AGGGAGUUUGAUCCUGGCUCAGGAUGAACGCUAGCGGCAGGCUUAACACAUGCAAGUCGAGGGGCAUCGCGGGUAGCAAUACCUGGCGGCGACCGGCGGAAGGGUGCGUAACGCGUGAGCGACAUGCCCGUGACAGGGGGAUAACAGAUGGAAACGUCUCCUAAUACCCCAUAUGAUCACAUAUCGCAUGGUAUGUGAUUGAAAGGUGAGAACCGGUCACGGAUUGGCUCGCGUCCCAUCAGGUAGACGGCGGGGCAGCGGCCCGCCGUGCCGACGACGGGUAGGGGCUCUGAGAGGAGUGACCCCCACAAUGGAACUGAGACACGGUCCAUACUCCUACGGGAGGCAGCAGUGAGGAAUAUUGGUCAAUGGGCGGAAGCCUGAACCAGCCAUGCCGCGUGCGGGAGGACGGCCCUAUGGGUUGUAAACCGCUUUUGAGUGAGAGCAAUAAGGAUCAUGAGUGGUCCGAUGAGAGUAUCAUUCGAAUAAGCAUCGGCUAACUCCGUGCCAGCAGCCGCGGUAAUACGGAGGAUGCGAGCGUUAUCCGGAUUCAUUGGGUUUAAAGGGUGCGUAGGCGGACAUGUAAGUCCGAGGUGAAAGACCGGGGCCCAACCCCGGGGUUGCCUCGGAUACUGUGUGUCUGGAGUGGACGUGCCGCCGGGGGAAUGAGUGGUGUAGCGGUGAAAUGCAUAGAUAUCACUCAGAACACCGAUUGCGAAGGCACCUGGCGAAUGUCUUACUGACGCUGAGGCACGAAAGCGUGGGGAUCGAACAGGAUUAGAUACCCUGGUAGUCCCCU
rnacentral:rRNA from 1 species